UUCCUACGGGGGGCUGCAGUGGGGAAUAUUGGACAAUGGGCGAAAGCCUGAUCCAGCAAUGCCGCGUGAGUGAUGAAGGCCUUAGGGUUGUAAAGCUCUUUUACCCGGGAAGAUAAUGACUGUACCGGGAGAAUAAGCCCCGGCUAACUCCGUGCCAGCAGCCGCGGUAAUACGGAGGGGGCUAGCGUUGUUCGGAAUUACUGGGCGUAAAGCGCACGUAGGCGGCUUUGUAAGUUAGAGGUGAAAGCCUGGGGCUCAACUCCAGAAUUGCCUUUAAGACUGCAUCGCUUGAACGUCGGAGAGGUGAGUGGAAUUCCGAGUGUAGAGGUGAAAUUCGUAGAUAUUCGGAAGAACACCAGUGGCGAAGGCGGCUCACUGGACGACUGUUGACGCUGAGGUGCGAAAGCGUGGGGAGCAAACAGGAUUAGAUACCCUUGUAGUC
rnacentral:rRNA from 1 species